CUCCUGAGCUACAGUCUCUGCAGCCCUGGUCAGUAGAAGAGGUCCUCAAAGACCCCAGUCUAGCUUUGGUGAUUGCGUCUGAAGCUCUUCAGAAUCCCUGGUAGCAGAGAGGAAGCUGACCUGGCGGAGGUACUCAGAGUACAUGUGCUCCAUCACACCUCUACUCUUGUAAUUAAUUAUGUUGCCUGUCUCAGAACCCCAUCCAGCUCAGUUAUGUCUUUCUUAUAAACAAAUCCCCAAAUGUACUGCACAUUGAAACUAGAUUUGGUAAUUGCCAUCUAUUAAAUUUAAUAGAGAAUAAAUUCUGUUUAUAAUGAAAAUUGCCGUCCAUCUCCACGUCUUCACUGUUCCUUACUCAUGGCUGUUACAGGGAAUUCUUG